rnacentral:lncRNA from 1 species
GGCUGCUGGUUCUUCCAGGAGCGCGCAUGAGCGGACGCUGCCUACUGGUGGCCGGGCGGGAUGUAACCGGCUGCUGAGCUGGCAGUUCUGUGUCGCUAGGCUUCUGCCCGGCCGCCGCCGCACAUAAGCCACGAGGAGGAGCUUUACGACUUCCCGGUCUUCGGCGCCGGGCGCAGCAAGGGCCAGACUCUGCGCUAGCAGGCGCUGCGCGCCAACCGGCCGGCACCUGUCGCAGAAGGUGCAACCGAUCGCACUGUCGCGCAGAAGCUCCUCAAUGGCCAGCGCCAGCUGCAGCCCCGGCCGCCCACUCGCCUCAUCUGAGCCUGGGCAAAUCUGGAUUGGGAAAGUUGACAUUAAUCAACUCAUUAUUCCUCACAGAUUUGUAUUCUCCAGAGUAUCCAGGUCCUUCUCAGAGAAUUAAAAAGCCUGUACAGGUCUAGAUAUUGGUAUUUUUAAUUGAUGAUAAGCUGGAAUAAUAUUAAUACACACAAAGCACGUGUUGUAACUUUCAUUAUGCUUCCUUAGAGGUAAGAUGCAAAUUUGCCCUUAGCCAGUGUAAGAUGGUAAAUAUGACUUCAUAAAAUCAAAAAAACAGAAGAAGUACAGUUAAUCGAAAGAUUAUCUUGACUAGAACUUUCCAAAUUUGUCCUAAGGAUUCUCCUAGAGAUGACACUGUGACAUAGUAACCAAUUCCCCUGGAGUUGUGCUAUGUAGUAUGAUAGUCAUUUGCCACAUGUUUAAAUCAAUUAAAAUUAAUUAAAUUAAAAUGCAAUUUCUCAUUUGCUCCAGAUACAUUUCAAGUGCUCAACAGCCACAUGUGGCAAGUGGCUGCCAUUUUGUGCAGCACAUAUAUGAAGAUUUUCAUCAUUGUAGAAAAUUGCAUUGGACAGUGUAGAGAAAACAUGAUUCAUAGAAAAACUAUUGUUAUUUAAAUACAGUGUUCUAUAUUAGUCAGUGGGAUAAUACCAUAUCAUAGUUGAAUGGCAAUAGCAAUUCUGUAAGACUCCCAAGCUAUAUGUGAUCUAAUUUACUGCUUCUCAGUCUUUGCUAUGCAUUCCAAUCCUGGGUAUCCUGUUAAAUUUAUUUCUUCUAGUAGUUCUGAGAUGGGCUGCCUUUCUACAUUUCUAACAAGAUCCCAGGUGAUGCUGAUGCUGCUGGAUGGUAGAUCACACUUUAUAAAGCAAGGGGCUAGACUCUAGAUAUGCACUUUUUAUUAAAUAGUACAGCAGCCUGUAGCCACAUGUGGCUAUUAAUCUUUGAAAUGUGGGUAGUCUGAAUUGUGAUGUUCUGCAAACAUAAAAUAUGCCACAGAUUUCUAAGACUGAGCAUGGAAAAGAAAAUCUCCAUAAUUUUUUAUAUUGAUUGUAUACUGCAGUGAUAAUAUUUUGGAUGUAUCAGGUUAAAUAAAAUUGACUGAUUUCACCUUUUUCCUAUUUUAAAAGUGGCUACUAAGAAAAUUUUAAAUUACUUACAUGACCGACAUGGUAUUUUUAUUUGGCAGCGCUGCUCUAAGCUGUUGAUGAAAAAUAUUGUUGGUGAGCUCUGCUUAGGUAAUAUAUAGGACAUGAGCAGAGAGGAGGCACGUGAACAGUUCUGGCCUGGAGUAGGCUUCAUUGAGGCUGUGAUGCUUUUAGCUGGAUUUGAAGAAGUGGUAGUGAUCAUCCCAGUGCACAGGAUAGGUGGACAGUCUAUGUAUUCUGAGCAGUAACUCAUAUAUCUCAUACUGCAAGACCCCAAAGGAGUAAUUUUGUGAAGUAAAUAUCUUAUUUCUCCUUUUUAAUGUUUCUAUUUUAGGAAUUUUUUUUUUUUUUAGUAACCUUCAUAGGGCUUGAGAUUUAAAAUUACCUGCAAAAUUCUACUCUAAAAACUUGAUCCUACAUGCUUAUUUUGUGAUAAAUAUUGGAAAUUUUAAACCUAAGCAAGAAAAUGAACUUUGAACUUUCUUAAUUUGGGUAUCUAUUAUGAAUACCUUCACUUAAGUAUUUAUGAAUUUAGAUAUGAAAGGUAAAACUAACCACUAUCCAAAUUAAUAUACAGUUCAUUUCCAGAACCCUAGUUUCUUCCAUGUGCUCACUUGCAUUCAGUAUUACAACCCCCAAAGAUAAACACCUUACUGACUGCCUUCUCCAUAAAUUUGCCUGUUCUUGAAUGUUAUAUACGUAUACUUUUUUGUAUCUGUUUUCUUUCAGUGAAGAUUAUGUCUGUAUUAUUUACUCAUGUUGGGUGUAGUUGUUUUUUUCAUCGUCGUAUAAUACUCCAUUGUGUGAAUGUAUCAGUAUAUCCUUUAUUAUUUAUUUAAACUGACUUAAAUGUUUUUUGACACUUUGGUUAUAUUUAAGAAGUUGACUUCUCUAAUUUCCUUGUCAUGUUUAUUUUUAAAUAUCUUUCUCUUUAAAAGUUGGGAUACUAUAAUAAAUAUUCAGCAAGUAUUUUGUGUUUAAAUAUAAAAUCUUGUUAUUUGGAUUUUAAUACUUUAUAUAUAGUAUUUAUAUAUAUAAACAUAAACAAAACUAAAGACUCUAUGAAAGAAUCAAAUGGAUUUUCUAUAACUGAAAAUUUCAAUGACUAAAAUUAAGAUAUUACCAGAUAGGUUUAACAGCAAAUUCCAUAAAGUUGGUAAGAAAACAAGAAUACUCAAAAAAUGGAAAGAAGUAGAAAAUAAAAACACUGAGAAGCAUAGAAUGCAAAUUUAGAAAAGAGCUUAAGAGACAUAUCAGACAUGGUAAAAGGUUUAACACACAUAUAAUCAAACUUUCCUAGCUCUGUUCACGGAAAGGGCCUGGGAGCUGCAACACCUCAACAGCAACAAGCACACCUGCUACCUAGAACUUGGUUUCUAAAAACCAUCCUCCUCUAAAAGGAAACAGAGCUCUUUGAAGAAACGGGUCUCCCUAUGUUGCCCAGGCUGGCCUCAAACUCCUGGGCUCAAGUUAUCCUCCUGCCUCGGCCUCCCAAAAUGCUGGGAUUGCAGGCAUGAGUGACCGCACCUGGCCACCUUUCCACAUUUAAGAGAUCCCUGGGAUACUGCGAAGCAGGAGUCCAUCUCCAGACAUGAGGAGCAGGUGGGCUAAAGGAAACAGGACUGGGGAGUCUUGGAGGGGCAGAGCAAUGCCCAGGGACACAGAAACUUUUGAAUAAAGACAAGAGAGACCGA